GAUGAACGCUGGCGGCGUGCUUAACACAUGCAAGUCGAACGGAGUGCUUCGGCACUUAGUGGCGGACGGGUGAGUAACGCGUGAGGAUCUGGCCUUAGGAGGGGGACAACCAUUGGAAACGAUGGCUAAUACCCCAUGAGCCGAGGGGUAAAAUAUUUAUCGCCUAAGGAUGAACUCGCGUCUGAUUAGCUAGUUGGUGGGGUAAGGGCCUACCAAGGCAAUGAUCAGUAUCUGUUCUGAGAGGAUGAUCAGCCACACUGGGACUGAGACACGGCCCACACUCCUACGGGAGGCAGCAGUGGGGAAUUUUCCGCAGUGGGGGCAACCCUGACGGAGCAACGCCGCGUGGGGGAGGAAGGUCUGUGGAUUGUAACCCCCCUUUCUCUGGGAAGAAGAAUUGACGGUACCAGAGGAAUCAGCAUCGGCUAACUCCGUGCCAGCAGCCGCGGUAAGACGGAGGAUGCGAGCGUUAUCCGGAAUUAUUGGGCGUAAAGCGUCCGUAGGCGGUAAUUUAAGUCUGCCGUUAAAGACUACAGCUCAACUGUAGGAGAGCGGUGGAAACUGUAUUACUAGAGUGUGGUAGGGGUAGAGGGAAUUCCCAGUGUAGCGGUGAAAUGCGUAUAUAUUGA
rnacentral:rRNA from 1 species